rnacentral:rRNA from 1 species
ACACGCAUGACACACUGCAUAUCAAUAAGCGGAGGAAAAGAAACUAACAAGGAUUCCCUUAGUAACGGCGAGUGAAGCGGGAAGAGCUCAAAUUUGAAAUCUUCAAGGUUUUACCUUGACGAAUUGUAGUUUAAAGAAGUGUUUUCUGUUGAAGUUUUGGUAAAAGUUCUUUGGAAUAGGACAUCAUAGAGGGUGAGAAUCCCGUAUUUGACCAUUAUUUUCAGCUGUGUGAUACACUUUCAAAGAGUCGGAUUGUUUGGGAAUGCAGUCCAAAAUGGGUGGUAAAUUUCAUCUAAAGCUAAAUAUUGGCGAGAGACCGAUAGCGAACAAGUACCGUGAGGGAAAGAUGAAAAGAACUUUGAAAAGAGAGUUAAACAGUACGUGAAAUUGUCAAAAGGGAAGCGUUUGACACCAGUGUUGUUUAGUUGAAAAUCAAUUCAAUAGUUUUUGAUUCUAAGUAGUAUUGACUUCAUCAGCUUGCUGCUUUCUUCUCAGAAAUUAUUGAAUGCACUUUUCAGUUAACAAGUCAACAUCAAUUUCUUUUGUUGUAAAAGGGUAAGAGGAAGGUGGCUUGCGCUUCGGCUCAAGUGUUUAUAGCCUUUUAUCUCUGCAAUCGGAGAGAUUGAGGUCUGCAGCGUAGAUCCUUCGGGGUUAGAUACAUUGGUGCUAAGUUAUAGCUUUUCAUAGACAACUUGUUGACUAUGUUAAGUCUUGUAGCUUACUCGCUGACGCUAUUUUACCUACGCUUAGGAUGUUGAGCGCAUGUCUCUCUCU